AUUGAACGCUGGCGGCAGGCCUAACACAUGCAAGUCGAACGAGUGGCGGACGGGUGAGUAAUGUAUGGGAAACUGCCUGAUGGAGGGGGAUAACUAUUGGAAACGGUAGCUAAUACCGCAUACCAUCAGAUGUGCCCAGAUGGGAUUAGCUAUUUGGUGGGGGAACGGCUCACCAAGGCGACGAUCCCUAGCUGGUCUGAGAGGAUGACCAGCCAACCGGGAACUGAGACACGGUGCAGAUUCCUACGGGAGGCAGCAUUGGGGAAUAUUGCACAAGGGGCGCAAGCCUGAUGCAGCCAUGCCGCGUGUAUGAAGAAGGCCUUCGGGUUGUAAAGUACUUUCAGCGGGGAGGCGUUACCCGCAGAAGAAGCACCGGCUAACUCCGUGCCAGCAGCCGCGGUAAUUC
rnacentral:rRNA from 1 species